GACUCCGAAGCAGAGAUGGGGACACAGGGAAAGGCCAGGGCAGGUUCUCACAUCUUCCUUCAGUCAAGUACCACCUCCUACCUUACGCCACCUCCCAGUCAUGCCAACAAAUGGUAAGUCCAUCGAGCCAUGGACUUGUCAUCACAGAAACAGACAGGAAUGUUUGCAAACCUAGACAUCUCUCAAUCCAGUCAGCCCCCAAUACCCACACAAUGGCCCACAACCAUCUGUACUGCAGUUCCAGAUCUGAUGCCCUCUUCUGGCCUCUGUGUCAGGUGCCGGGGAGGGAGGGUAAGGACCAAAGAGACAAACACUAACACCAAGCACAGAUGGCAGCUGAGCAGAAGCCAAGAGGACAGAUGCUGCAUGGCCAGGCUGACCCAACAGUGCACUGGGACAGGGUCUCGUGUAUCCCAGGCUGGCCUCAAACUCAAUGUGUAGCCAAGGACGACCCUGUGCUUCUGGUCCUCCUGCCUCCACGUCUGCCGCUGCCAGUCACUGCAAUGUGCCACCAAAUUCUGUUCAUGAAGUGCUGGGAACCGGACCCAGGACUUCGUGGAUACUACAACCAAAGGCCCCACCAGAGCUACAUUCUUGGCCCCUUUGUUUUUCUAAGGACUUUUUAACAUUAAAA